rnacentral:rRNA from 1 species
GACGAACGCUGGCGGCGUGCCUAAUACAUGCAAGUAGAACGCUGAAGGAGGAGCUUGCUUCUCUGGAUGAGUUGCGAACGGGUGAGUAACGCGUAGGUAACCUGCCUGGUAGCGGGGGAUAACUAUUGGAAACGAUAGCUAAUACCGCAUAAUAGUAGAUGUUGCAGGACAUUUGCUUAAAAUUUGCAAUUUCAUCACUACCAUAUGGACCUGCGUUGUAUUAGCUAGGUGGUGAGGUAACGGCUCACCAAGGCAACGAUACAUAGCCGACCUGAGAGGGUGAUCGGCCACACUGGGAAUGAGACACGGCCCAGAAUCCUACGGGAGGCAGCAGUAGGGAAUCUUCGGCAAUGGACGGAAGGCUGAACGAGCAAAGCCGCGUGAGUGAAGAAGGUUUUCGGAUCGUAAAGCUCUGUUGUAAGAGAAGAACGAGUGUGAGAGUGGAAAGUUCACACUGUGACGGUACCUUAACAGAAAGGGACGGCUAACUACGUG